UUCUGUUGGCAAGUUUCUAUACCAUGAACUUAGUGCUGUUGACGGGGCUAUCACCAUCACUUGUCUAAUGGUGGCCAAUCUUGUUGGUUUUGUCAUUGGAUCAUCGGGGAUCAAUUGGUUGCUCUAUAAAUUUCUCCAGAAAGAAGGACUACCUACUCUUGGUGGCAUGUUUAUUACGUUUUACGUUGGAACUAAGCUGAUGUUUCACAUAUCUGAUGCCAAGCAAAAACGCAUCCACAGCUGAUGACAAAGGUUCAUUCCUGGGCAAGCAGAUCACAAACAACAUGAUACAAAACCCAUUAGCAUCUACAGUGUGUUCCCAUGU